rnacentral:ncRNA from 1 species
UAUCCAGAGUGCGACGAGGGACUGGCCUGAUGACUCGCCGGCAACCUGCCUUUGCAGCAAGGUGCUAAUUCCAGCCUGCUUGACCAGGAGAGAU